GCCAUCCUUCCGGGACGCGGGGGCAGUUUGGGGGCGAGGGAGAUGGUUGCCUUCUUCUCCCUCCAGGGAGCAACGUCCCUUCAUAAGGAUUCUUUUUUCCCAGCAAGCAAAGAUGACCUAGAAAUUUGAUAGUGCGAGAGUUACAAACUAUACUUUCUCAAGGGAGAAAUAUUACCUUAUAGAAACCAGCUUUUAUCCUGCUGAGAACCUGUACUGUGCUGCGGGGAUUGUCUCUUAUUACAGCUGUGAGAGCCGGGGGAAGCACGUACAGCUCUCUUCCGCACACCGAAAAGACUGCUGGAAUCGCGGAUGACCCUGAAAAGAAACUGCAGUGUCACUUACGGGGGGGAGGUGGGGAAAGACAAAAAUACCAACGUAAGCCAGUACAUUCCGCGUGCAGAUUGAGCCUGAAUACUCUUAGGCACACCAGGAGGAAACUUCUCAAGGUUUCGAAACUUCUAGGUAAUCUCUACACCCAAGGUGGGGCUAGAACUCAUGACUCUGAGAUCAAGAGUCACAUGUUCUACCAGCUGCCAGGCACCCUGCGCUCUGAAGUCUUUAAAAUCAAAUUUCAGACAGAAUGUCACAAAUACUUCACUAUUCACAUCUAAUAGGGAGGAUCUUGAGAGAUUGGAGUUUGGCAAAACACAUUUUGGGAAAUAUUGGCCAAGAUAUUUGUAUUUUAGUUAACAACUUGGAAGAAGAGAACAACUUCAGGAGUGAUUCUAAUAGUGUUUCAGAGACCCACAAAAUAAAAAAAAAGGGGGGGGGAAGAGUAAAUAUGAGGGCUUGCGGUUGCCUCUAAAUCACACUGUGUACCUUCUCAACAGUUCUUCUUGCUUAUAAGACAGGUGGGCUUUUUGAACUUUGCUUUUCUGUUAUUAAAGAAACUAGACACAACAGUGGUCUUCUAAGGAUGAGUUAAGUUGUAUGGUAGAACACAUUUAAAAGGUUUGAAAGUGAAAAAUGGUUAGUCACAGUCAUAAAGUUCAACCAAGUUGCUGAGUCCUUACUGUGUCAAACACUGCGUUCUGCUGGGCUACCAAUAGAGGCAAAUGAAGAUACCCAGCCUGUUCUCCAGCACAGGAAGAUAUGCCGUUCCCAAGGCACUUUUGUUUGCGGGUGACAGACUUAAACUAGUACAAAUAAAGAGCAGUUUAUUGUAAAGAUCUGGUGCUUGCAGAAUCCAAGGAUAGGAUUUAAAGCUGAGUUGGCAUUUUGGCUCCUGGUAGGUCCUCAGGAAUGACGUCUAUGCUGUGUUUCUGGGGCUGCAGGAUCUUUGGCUUCUAUUCAUCUCACAUGUCACAAAACAUGGCCACCACUCCCACAUCCACACAUGGCCUUCCAGUGCUGGCAAAUACUCUUCAUCUCUUGAUUCAAAUUCACAAGAUAAAAAAUUUGACUGGCUCUCCUUGGUUAGAUGUCUAGCUCUAGUCAUUAGCUGUGGCCAUGAGGUAGGCUCAUGCAAUUUAUGGCCCCUCCAAGCAAAGACCGUGCCAAAAGAGGCAAAGAUAGCUAUGUCUGCUAUAAGUACUUAAAGAAACA